UCCUACGGGAGGCAGCAGUGGGGAAUAUUGCACAAUGGGGGAAACCCUGAUGCAGCCAUGCCGCGUGUGUGAAGAAGGCCUUCGGGUUGUAAAGCACUUUCAGUUGUGAGGAAAAGUUAGUAGUUAAUACCUGCUAGCCGUGACGUUAACAACAGAAGAAGCACCGGCUAACUCCGUGCCAGCAGCCGCGGUAAUACGGAGGGUGCGAGCGUUAAUCGGAAUUACUGGGCGUAAAGCGCACGCAGGCGGUUUGUUAAGCUAGAUGUGAAAGCCCCGGGCUCAACCUGGGAUGGUCAUUUAGAACUGGCAGACUAGAGUCUUGGAGAGGGGAGUGGAAUUCCAGGUGUAGCGGUGAAAUGCGUAGAUAUCUGGAGGAACAUCAGUGGCGAAGGCGACUCCCUGGCCAAAGACUGACGCUCAUGUGCGAAAGUGUGGGUAGCGAACAGGAUUAGAUACCCUGGUAGUCCACACCGUAAACGCUGUCUACUAGCUGUGUGUGUCUUUAAGACGUGCGUAGCGAAGCUAACGCGCUAAGUAGACCGCCUGGGGAGUACGGCCGCAAGGUUAAAACUCAAAUGAAUUGACGG
rnacentral:rRNA from 1 species